rnacentral:rRNA from 1 species
CGCCUGGGGAGUACGGCCGCAAGGUUAAAACUCAAAUGAAUUGACGGGGGCCCGCACAAGCGGUGGAGCAUGUGGUUUAAUUCGACGCAACGCGAAGAACCUUACCUGGCCUUGACAUGCAGAGAACUUUCCAGAGAUGGAUUGGUGCCUUCGGGAACUCUGACACAGGUGCUGCAUGGCCGUCGUCAGCUCGUGUCGUGAGAUGUUGGGUUAAGUCCCGUAACGAGCGCAACCCCUAUCCCUAGUUGCUAGCAGUUCGGCUGAGAACUCUAGGGAGACUGCCGGUGACAAACCGGAGGAAGGUGGGGAUGACGUCAGGUCAUCAUGGCCCUUACGGCCAGGGCUACACACGUGCUACAAUGGUGCGCACAGAGGGCUGCAAACCCGCGAGGGGGAGCCAAUCUCACAAAACGCAUCGUAGUCCGGAUCGCAGUCUGCAACUCGACUGCGUGAAGUCGGAAUCGCUAGUAAUCGUGAAUCAGAAUGUCACGGUGAAUACGUUCCCGGGCCUUGUACACACCGCCCGUCACACCAUGGGAAGUGG